UCCCUUGUGGCUCAGACAGUAAAGCGUCUGCCUACAAUGCAGAAGACCCGGGUUUGAUCCCUGGAUCGGGAA
rnacentral:tRNA from 1 species